AUGCGGACGCGGAGGCGCGGGACUCGCAGGCCCUACUCUACCCCGCUCCUUCGAAUCUGCCCCAGAAGUGCUCGAGGAGGCGCUCGAGCUCGGCAUGCUCGCCGAAGACGCCGGGCCCUCCAUCCUCCUGAUGCCCUCGCCGUCGCCGCCAUGAACAUCUCCACCAUCUCCGGCGCAAUCGUCCGGGUCCAGAUUUCCCAAAGGAGAAGGAGGAGGUGCCGAAAGAGGAUGGGAGCAACAAGUCUGAAUCGAAGAGUAUGUUUUGUUGCGGAUCUUCUAUGGAAUCCUGUUGCUACUAACCAAACAUGCCUUCUCUUUAGUUCCUCUAUGGAAGUAGCAUCAAAUUGGGAUUUUGUUGAUGAUCUGUAA
rnacentral:rRNA from 1 species